rnacentral:rRNA from 1 species
CCUACGGGUGGCAGCAGUGAGGAAUAUUGGUCAAUGGACGAGAGUCUGAACCAGCCAAGUAGCGUGAAGGAUGACUGCCCUAUGGGUUGUAAACUUCUUUUAUAUGGGAAUAACAUGUUCCACGUGUGGGAUUUUGUAUGUACCAUAUGAAUAAGGAUCGGCUAACUCCGUGCCAGCAGCCGCGGUAAUACGGAGGAUCCGAGCGUGAUCCGGAUUUCUUGGGUUUAAAGGGGGCGUAGGUGGGUUGUUAAGUAAGUUGUGAAAGUUUGCGGCUCAACCGGAAAAUUGCAGUUGAAACUGGCAGUCUUGAGUACAGGAGAGGUGGGCGGAAUGCGUGGUGUAGCGGUGAAAUGCUUAGAUAUCACGAAGAACUCCGAUUGCGAAGGCAGUUCACUGGACUGCAACUGACACUGAGGCUCGAAAGUGUGGGUAUCAAACAGGAUUAGAUACCCCGGUAGUC